AACGAACGCUGGCGGCAGGCUUAACACAUGCAAGUCGAGCGCCCCGCAAGGGGAGCGGCAGACGGGUGAGUAACGCGUGGGAAUCUACCCAUCACUACGGAACAACUCUGGGAAACUGGAGCUAAUACCGUAUACGUCCUUCGGGAGAAAGAUUUAUCGGUGAUGGAUGAGCCCGCGUUGGAUUAGCUAGUUGGUGGGGUAAUGGCCUACCAAGGCGACGAUCCAUAGCUGGUCUGAGAGGAUGAUCAGCCACACUGGGACUGAGACACGGCCCAGACUCCUACGGGAGGCAGCAGUGGGGAAUAUUGGACAAUGGGCGAAAGCCUGAUCCAGCCAUGCCGCGUGAGUGAUGAAGGCCCUAGGGUUGUAAAGCUCUUUCGCAGGUGAAGAUAAUGACGGUAACCUGAGAAGAAGCCCCGGCUAACUUCGUGCCAGCAGCCGCUGUAAGAC
rnacentral:rRNA from 1 species